GCCGGGACGGUCUGCCGGACGUGGUGGUCCGGUACUGAUGAGCAGCCACCC
rnacentral:hammerhead_ribozyme from 1 species